rnacentral:rRNA from 1 species
GCGUGAGAAUCUGCCCUCAGGAGGGGGAUAACGGCUGGAAACGGCCGCUAAUACCCCAUAUGCCGCGAGGUGAAGUGAAUUUCGCCUGAGGAUGAGCUCGCGUCUGAUUAGCUAGUUGGUGGGGUAAAGGCCUACCAAGGCAUCGAUCAGUAGCUGGUCUGAGAGGAUGAUCAGCCACACUGGGACUGAGACACGGCCCAGACUCCUACGGGAGGCAGCAGUGGGGAAUUUUCCGCAAUGGGCGAAAGCCUGACGGAGCAACGCCGCGUGAGGGAUGAAGGCCUCUGGGCUGUAAACCUCUUUUAUCAAGGAAGAAGAUCUGACGGUACUUGAUGAAUAAGCCACGGCUAAUUCCGUGCCAGCAGCCGCGGUAAUACGGGAGUGGCAAGCGUUAUCCGGAAUUAUUGGGCGUAAAGCGUCCGCAGGCGGGCUUGUAAGUCUGUCGUUAAAGCGUGGAGCUUAACUCCAUUUCAGCGAUGGAAACUGCAAGACUAGAGUGUGNAGGGGCAG